rnacentral:lncRNA from 1 species
UCAAAGUCCAUAUUAUUGAUUCCCUCCAGCUCCGUGGGGAGGAUCAUCCUCUCAAUCAGCUCCCUAACGACCCUCCAAUCGUCGAAAGUUGCAUCCUCAGGGAUCGAAGGGAGUCAAGUAUCUAUGUCGACCUGAUCUCCUGGGGGAGGCAGUCUAUUUGGGCCGGCCACUGGAGAAGGUCGGGCCUCGUCUCUAAGCGAAAAUGCGAGAGGAGUUGGAGCACGAGCCAUGGAGGAUGGAGAUGCCUGCAUCCGAGUGGUGGAGAUAG